AUUGAACGCUGGCGGAAUGCUUUACACAUGCAAGUCGAACGGCAGCACGGACUUCGGUCUGGUGGCGAGUGGCGAACGGGUGAGUAAUGCAUCGGAACGUGCCCAAUCGUGGGGGAUAACGUAGCGAAAGUUACGCCAAUACCGCAUACGAUCUAAGGAUGAAAGCGGGGGAUCGCAAGACCUCGCGCGAAUGGAGCGGCCGAUGUUAGAUUAGGUAGUUGGUGGGGUAAAGGCUCACCAAGCCGACGAUCUAUAGCUGGUCUGAGAGGAUGAUCAGCCACACUGGGACUGGGACACGGCCCAGACUCCUACGGGAGGCAGCAGUGGGGAAUUUUGGACAAUGGGCGCAAGCCUGAUCCAGCCAUUCCGCGUGCAGGAUGAAGGCCCUCGGGUUGUAAACUGCUUUUGUACAGAACGAAAAGCUCUGGGUUAAUACCCUGGGGUCAUGACGGUACUGUAAGAAUAAGCACCGGCUAACUACGUGCCAGCCGCCGCUGUAAAAC
rnacentral:rRNA from 1 species